rnacentral:rRNA from 1 species
UGCUCCUUGUUAAUCCUCUAUAAGGAGUCGGACCUGCUCGGUGAAUAUAUUUUAACAGCCGCGGUACUCUGACCGUGCAAAGGUAGCAUAAUCAUUUGCCUUAUAAUUGAAGGCUAGUAUGAAUGGUUUGACGAGAAUUAAGCUGUCUCUUUUCAACUAAAUAUAAUUUUAUUAACAGGUGAAGAAGCCUGUGUUUUAUUGAAAGACAAGAAGACCCUAUCGAGCUUUAAAAAAAUUAGCAGACUUAUUAUAUAUUUAUACAAAUGUAAGACUGCUAAAAACUUUGGUUGGGGCGACUGAGGAACAGAUAAAGCUUCCUUUAUAAUUGAAUACUUACAUGUGUUGAUCCAACAAGUUUGAUUAAAGGAAUUAGUUACCGUAGGGAUAACAGCAUAAUCUUCUUUGAGAGUUCUUAUCGAAAAGAGGGUUUGUGACCUCGAUGUUGGACCAGAAUACCCAGAAGAUGCAGCCGUCUUCAAUGGUUGGUCUGUUCGACCAUUAAAAUUCUACGUGAUCUGAGUUCAGACCGGCGUGAGCCAGGUCAGUUUCUAUCUUCAAUUUUAAUAAUAGCCUUAGUACGAAAGGACCAGGCUAUUGCAAUAUAGUUUGUUAAUUUUUGAUAAAAUAUAAGGAUCAGUUUAUUACAUACUUAUUAUCAAAUUAGCAAAGAUAAUGCAAUUGAUUUAGGAUCAAUAGACAUAGGUGGAACCCCUUUAUUUGAUACAUAAAGAUGGCAGAAAAA